rnacentral:rRNA from 1 species
CUUUUCCGAGGUCGUAAUUAUUAGUAUUAAACCAAUUCCUUCGGGAGUGUGAUGAAUCAUAGUAAUCGAACGAAUCGCAGAGUUCUGCGAUAAAUCAUUCAAGUUUCUGCCCUAUCAGCUUUGGAUGGUAGUGUAUUGGACUACCAUGGCAGUCACGGGUAACGGAGAAUUAGGGUUCGAUUCCGGAGAGGGAGCCUGAGAAACGGCUACCACAUCUACGGAGGGCAGCAGGCGCGAAAAUUGCCCAAUCCCGAUACGGGGAGGCAGUGACAAGAAAUAACAACUCUCGACUAUGUUGAGAAGUGUAAUGAGGAUAAUUUACAAACCUUACCGAAAGCAAUUGGAGGGCAAGUCUGGUGCCAGCAGCCGCGGUAAUUCCAGCUCCAAUAGCGUAUAUUAAAGUUGUUGCAGUUAAAAAGCUCGUAGUUGAAGUUCUGGCUGUAUGGGCCUCUGCACUAGAUGCGAAGGUACCAGCAGCCAUCCGCUUGCAAAUACAUGUCCUUCUUUAACCGGUAGGCUGUAUGAGCAAGCAAUUUACCUUGAGAAAAACAGAGUGCACCAGGCAGGUAUGUCCGGAAUGCAUUAGCAUGGAAUAAUAGAAUAUGACUGAAGUCGAUUUAUUGGUUUGAGGCUUUAGUAAUGAUUAAUAGGAACAAUCGGGGGCAUUAGUACUUGCCAGUCAGAGGUGAAAUUCUAAGAUUUGGCAAAGACUAACUGAUGCGAAAGCGUUUGCCAAGGAUGUUUUCAUUAAUCAAGAACGAAAGUUAGGGGAUCAAAGACGAUCAGAUACCGUC